AAGGAAGGUGGAUGUUUAAAGAGGGAUAAUUGGAUAUAAAGGAAGGUGGAUGUUUAAAGAGAGGAAUAAUUGGAUAUGAAGGAAGGUGGAUGUUUAAAGAGAGGGAUAAUUGGAUAUAAAGGAAGGUGGAUGUUUAAAGAGAGGGAUAAUUGGAUAUAAAGGAAGGUGGAUGUUUAAAGAGAGGGAUAAUUGGAUAUAAAGGAAGGUGGAUGUUUAAAGAGAGGGAUAAUUGGAUAUAAAGGAAGGUGGAUGUUUAAAGAGAGGAAUAAUUGGAUAUAAAGGAAGGUGGAUGUUUAAAGAGAGGAAUAAUUGGAUAUAAAGGAAGGUGGAUGUUUAAAGAGAGGAAUAAUUGGAUAUGAAGGAAGGUGGAUGUUUAAAGAGAGGAAUAAUUGGAUAUAAAGGAAGGUGGAUGUUUAAAGAGAGGAAUAAUUGGAUAUGAAGGAAGGUGGAUGUUUAAAGAGAGGAAUAAUUGGAUAUAAAGGAAGGUGGAUGUUUAAAGAGAGGAAUAAUUGGAUAUAAAGGAAGGUGGAUGUUUAAAGAGAGGAAUAAUUGGAUAUAAAGGAAGGUGGAUGUUUAAAGAGAGGAAUAAUUGGAUAUAAAGGAAGGUGGAUGUUUAAAGAGGAAUAAUUGGAUAUAAAGGAAGGUGGAUGUUUAAAGAGAGGAAUAAUUGGAUAUGGAUAAAAAUGACGCAUAGAAGUGGAGAGAAAAUAAAGGAAAAAAAGGAAAAAAUCAGGAAAAUAAUAAGACAUGAAAAAAGAGACUAUCACAAACAAACACGCAAACAAACACACAAACAAAGCCUUACUAAUCAUGACCACUCACACUUAGAAGCAAAAACGAGAAAAAAAAGAAAAAAUAGGAAAAUGAGAACAGAAAAAAAAAAAAUUGACACAAAAACAAACAAAGACCACCACCUACAAACAAACACACUAACACACAAACACACACAAACAAACAAUUUAAAGCAGAAAAGAGAAGAAAAAAAGAAAAAUGAAAGAAAAAAAAGACAAAGAAAAAAUAAGACACAAAAAACAAACAGAGACCACCACCAAACAAACACACUAACACACAAACAGACAAUUUAAAGCAGAAAAGAGAAGAAAAAAGAAGAAAAAAUAGAUGAAAAAAUAGUAAAGAAAAAUAACAGAAAAAAACAGGAGAACGAGA